GUCCAAAUUUGUGUUGCUUUCGUGGGGCCAUAGACAAAAAAUGUUUUGUCAGAUGAUCAUGCAUCAGAAGACUACGACAGUGAUGAUUUUUUUUUUAAUCAAAGCAGUUACCCUUGUACCGAUCAACACUGUAGAUGGUAAGAAUAGCCGUCAUGUAUACGCAACAAUGAACAUGUAGGUUACAAAAUCAUGCCAGUCAGAUUUCAAUUAAACAGUGGUGC
rnacentral:lncRNA from 1 species